GACGAACGCUGGCGGCGUGCCUAAUACAUGCAAGUAGAACGCUGAAGGAGGAGCUUGCUUCUCUGGAUGAGUUGCGAACGGGUGAGUAACGCGUAGGUAACCUGCCUGGUAGCGGGGGAUAACUAUUGGAAACGAUAGCUAAUACCGCAUAAUAGUAGAUGUUGCAUGACAUUUGCUUAAAAGGUGCAAUUGCAUCACUACCAGAUGGACCUGCGUUGUAUUAGCUAGUUGGUGAGGUAACGGCUCACCAAGGCAACGAUACAUAGCCGACCUGAGAGGGGGAACGGCCACACUUGGACUGAGACACGGCCCAGACUCCUACGGGAGGCAGCAGUAGGGAAUCUUCGGCAAUGGACGGAAGUCUGACCGAGCAACGCCGCGGGAGGGAAGAAGGUUUUCGGAUCGUAAAGCUCUGCUGUAAGAGAAGAACGAGUGUGAGAGUGGAAAGUUCACACUGUGACGGUAUCUUACCAGAAAGGGACGGCUAACUACGUG
rnacentral:rRNA from 1 species